rnacentral:rRNA from 1 species
GAGUUUGAUCUUGGCUCAGGAUGUACGCUGGCGGCGUGCCUAAUACAUGCAAGUCGAACGAACAGAUAAGGAGCUUGCUCCUUUGACGUUAGCGGCGGACGGGUGAGUAACACGUGGGUAACCUACCUAUAGGACUGGAAUAACUCCGGGAAACCGGGGCUAAUGCCGGAUAACAUGUUGAACCGCAUGGUUCUACAGUGAAAGACGGUCUUGCUGUCACUUAUAGAUGGACCCGCGCCGUAUUAGCUAGUUGGUGGGUAACGGCCUACCAAGGCGACGAUACGUAGCCGACCUGAGAGGGUGAUCGGCCACACUGGAACUGAGACACGGUCCAGACUCCUACGGGAGGCAGCAGUAGGGAAUCUUCCGCAAUGGGCGAAAGCCUGACGGAGCAACGCCGCGUGAGUGAUGAAGGUCUUCGGAUCGUAAAGCUCUGUUGUUAGGGAAGAACAAAUGUGUAAGUAACUGUGCAUAUCUUGACGGUACCUAACCGAGAAAGCCAACGGCUAAACUACGUGCCAGCCGCCGCGGUAAC